CAGCCGCCGCGGUAAUACAGAGGGUGCAAGCGUUAAUCGGAUUUACUGGGCGUAAAGGGCGCGUAGGUGGUUAUUUAAGUGAGAUGUGAAAGCCCCGGGCUUAACCUGGGAACUGCAUCUUAUACUGGGUAACUGGAGUGCAGUAGAGGGUAGUGGAAUUUCCGGUGUAGCGGUGAAAUGCGUAGAUAUCGGGAGGAACAUCAGUGGCGAAGGCGGCCAUCUGGGACAACACUGACGCCGAGGCACGAAAGCGUGGGGAGCAAACAGGAUUAGAUACCCGUGUAGUCCCUGUCUCUUAUAC
rnacentral:rRNA from 1 species